UAAAGGAGAGGGUGGUUGAUUGUGAAGAGGGUAGUUGAAGGUGGUUGAGAGUGGUUGAGAAAAAUGUUAACAAUUGUAAAUGUUGACAAUUUGGUACAAAUCUCCACCUUGGCAAGAUUUUUCCAUGCAAUCCUUGUGAUCAAUCUGCUGCUUUACAACUACCCUGUCCUUUACAUUUGCAAUUGUCAAGGUGGAGAUUUGUAGCAAAUUGUCAACAUUUGCAAUUGUCAACAUUUUUCUCAACCACUCUCAACCACCUUUAACUACCCUCUCCACCAUCAACCACCCUCUCCUUUACAACCACUAUAUUUAUGCUUCCCUUUCUCAUGUAAACAGAUUCAAGACUGAAGACAAGAACGAGAGAGGAAGAGUGCAGUGUGUGUGCAAGAAGUGUGCAGAGAAGUGUGGUGAGUGCAACUGGGAGAGUGAGUGCAAGUGAAGAUUUGAGAGAAAAGAGUGUAAGAGUAAAACACUGGUUUUUUAUGGGUUGGGUUGAGUUGAGUGUUUGUAUCAUUCCUCCAUUAAUAUACAAUCUGCUGCCUCCGUGGACGUACUCGGUUUUGGGGAACCACGUAAAUCUGCUUGUUUUGUGUUUGCUUUCGGUCCAGUAUGCGCAACACCCCCCCAACACACACACACACAGAGCUAAAGGGAUGGAGUAGAUCCAUGUAGGGAAUCAUGGACUGGAGAGUCAGGAAUAUGUAAUUUUUUCCUCUGCGUUACUCUCAGGAAUAUCCAAAGCAAUCACUUUAGUGGUGUAGUUCCAACACAAUUUCAGCUAAUUCCCAAUCUAUGGUGAGUUUGGAAGAUUUCAGCUUCUAGCUAAUAUGCAUUAAUUUCCUUCCCUUAUCUACCUUUUAGUAGGAUUGACGGAACUCGGUUCUAUGAAGGGGCAAAUUAUCCUGCCUGGAAACUUCCUUUGGAUAACGGAUCCAUUUGGAAAAAUUGUAAUGGUCCCUCAUCGACCGAGUCAAGUGCCAUUGAGAAUUAUCUCAAGGUAAAAAGGACACAAGAAGAAAAGAUUGGGCCCUGGUGGAAAAGUAAGAUUGUUAAAAUGAAGGUAAGUGCGUGACUAAUCUUCUCAGUUUUUUCGUUGUCACACAACAUUGUAGGAUACUACUGCAACAGUAGGCUGAUAACGUGAAAAGUUUCUGCAUGUUUCUUUGACUUGUAAAUGUUUCAAGGAGACUUCUUUUAGAGAAACUUGGACCGUUGUUUGUCAGAAACGUUUUUACAAGAGAAUCUGUGAGCUUCAGGUUUCUUUCUUUCUCAAAUCCCUUGUAUGUUUGCUGUUUUCAUGUCAUUCAAACUGCAUCAAAUGCAUCUCUAGUCAAGUUAACCAUUUAUGUAAGUGGUAGUGGACGAAGAAGGGCUCAUUCAAUGUUGACCACUGAUACAAGCAGGCUUUUGAAAGUGCUAUUGGUGACACUGGCUAUAUUGCUCCUGAACAUGAGGAACCAGUAACUGACAACACAAAGGGUGACAUUUAUGCGUUUGGAGUGUUGCUUUUGGAGCUAUUAACAGGAAGGAGGGGGCCUUUUGAUAGGUCGACUUUAUCCCCCCUGCCUCAACCAAAUUGUCGAAUAAUAUUCUGAUAUACUUGGUGUUUAUUUGCUAAGAAUUCUGUCUCUAACAAAGCUCAAGACCGAGAAAAGAGCAAUCUUUGGUGAAAGGGGCUUCAUAUCUGCUGCAUGAUGAUGAGAGUUUAAUUCAGAUGGUUGGUCCAGGCAUAAAGAACAGUCUCCUUCAAGACCCUCUCUCGGUUUGCAGAUGUCGUCUCACUGUGCAUUCAGUCUGAGAAGUUCUUCCGCCCACCUAUGUCUGAAAUUGUUUCAUCACUGACAAGUCUGCGGCAAAAAUUCACUGCUGCAAAAAGUGGUGCAAUGGAAGGUGCUGAAGUUGACCAUUUUGAGAGGUCUUUCCGUUCAACUAAUACCCGCUUCAUAACCUCACCAACACCAAGUUACAUUUCGGUUAGAUUUUUGCAAUCGGUCAGCUGAUUCAGGAAAUGAUUUACUGUCAGAAGCAUUGUACGAGCAUGAUAUUUGCAAUUCCAGUUAACUGCUUUUAGUACAAGAUCCUUAGCAAUCAAGCAAUUGCUGCACGGCUUUCCAUUACAUGUAUUAUCAGUGUUAGCAUAAGGAGUUAACCUCUCUGAUUCAUGUACUGUGAUUUACGGAGUUUAUUAUCCAACAUUAGACCUCUCUAACCUUUAAA